UCUCCUGGCCAGAGUUCACAGUUCACUCCUAAAGCAAACAUAGCUCAGCUUCCAAAUACCUCUCAAUCUCAGGGCUAUGGUGGUUUUUCUUGUGCUAACACUGAUUAUACCAAAGAUAAUGCUUGGUAUCUGGACUCCGGGGCUACCAAUCACAUCACACACGAUUUGGCUAAUCUCAAUACAGCCACUGAGUAUCAGGGA
rnacentral:lncRNA from 1 species